rnacentral:tRNA from 1 species
GGCCUUGUAGCUCAGUCUGGUAGAGCGCCCGAGGUGAUCGGGAGGUCGGCGGUUCAAAUCCGUCCGGGGUCA